GCUUCCCGGGCCUUACAAACAGCCGGGGAGCUGUCGGCUGAGUCCGGGGAAAGCUGGCAGCCCCCCAGGGCACGGCCUGCUCGGCCUUCAGUUCUGAGCCGGCCGCCCCUUCCAGUGUUUUCCUUCCAGUUACCUUCCUGCUGGGAAAACGUGGCUCCCAUGAGCGCCCUGGGCUCGUGGGUGGUGGCCGUGCCCUGUGCGCUGUCCCCAGGACGUCCAUGCUCACCUGCAGCACCAGCCCCCAGCCCCCAGCCCCCAGGGCAGCACCUGCAGUGGCUCUCUUGCUUUUCUCUCUCCUCUCCUCUGUCUGUCUCCGUCUCUCUCCUUUGUCUCUCCCCUCUCCUCUUUCUCUCUCCCCCCUCCUCUCUCUCCUCUGUCUCUCUCUCCUCUCUCUUCCUCUUUCUCUCCCUCUCUUUCUCUAUUCUCUCUCUCUUCCUCUCUCUCUCCUCCCUCUCUCCUCUCUCUCUCCUUUGUCUCUCUCCCCUCUCCUCUCUCUCUCUUUUUCUCUUCCUCUAUCUCUCUUUCUCUCUCCUCUGUCUCUCCUCUCUCUCUCUCCUCUCUGUCUCUGUCUCUCCUCUCUCUCUCUCCUCUGUCUCUCUCUCUCCUCUGUCUCUCUCUCUCUCCUCCCUCUCCUCUUUCUCCUUUCUCUCUCUCUCCCCUCUCCUCUCUCUCUCCCUCUCUCUCCUCUCUCUCUCUCUUUCUCCUCUCCUUCUCUCUCCUCUCUCCUCUGUGUCUCUCUCUCUUCUCUCUCUCCUCUCUCUCUCUCCCUCUCUCUCUCUCUCUCUCUCUCUGUCCUUCCUUUUAAUCACUCCGUUGGUCAGUGGCCUGGUGACUGAAGCGCUCCCCAGGGCAGAGAUUGGCGAGGCUCUGGGAGGAGGGGGAAGCAGAUUUGUGGAGGAGGCGGCAGCUCGGGUCGGGGGUGGGGAACCCUCAGUAACCUUAUCCAGCAAGGACCGAGUCAGCUCCGCUGAGGGGUUCCCUGACGUGAAACCCAGAGGAAGGUGCUCGGGGUCGGAGGAAGCCUCGUGUCCAGAACUCCCUGGCGUCCAGGCUAGACAAACUUUCCUGCCCCUUGGUGACGCCCGGUGUGGUUCCCUGGCCACUCCCGUGGCUGCCAGAACAGCCAGCCUCGUGUCCAGUGGCUUCCAACAGCGCAGCUGGGUCCGGGUGCAGGCCUGCAGGUUUCCGUGGGGUCAGGGCGAGGGCAGAGCUGCGUCCCUCUGGGGGCCCCGGGCCAGCCCUUUCUCCUGCCAAUUCCCACGUGCAUCGGCCGCCCGCCUACUGCCGCUGAUUCCGAGGGGGUCCCUCUGCUGUCAUGGCCGAGGCAGCCAUUGAAGUGGGGCUUCCUCCCUCCUCCCUCCUUCAGAUGGCCCGGGGCUCCUCCCUCCUCCAGAUGGCCCGGGGCUGUGCAGAAGGGGCGCUGAGCUCCUCCCCAAGGCCUCUGCAGCCUGAGAUGGGAGCCCACGGCCGGGCCUCUGCCCUGCAGUGCGGGGGCUGGGGCCUCAGCUGGCCCCCGGGACGGAGCCUGGAGGUCCC
rnacentral:lncRNA from 1 species